AUGAUUAGAUUUCCUCUACUAUUCGCAGUUUCCACGCAAGCUGUCACUCGAGCCUUUGUGACGUGCGAUGAGCGCCAAUAUUUUACUUCCAUUGGAUGUAUGA
rnacentral:snoRNA from 1 species